GGCAGAAAAUUAUAAACAGCAAAUAAAGAGGAGGCAGAGUAAAGCUACCCCAUGUACGCCCCAGCCCAGACCCUGUGUCUGGUCUGUAUUGUGAAUGGGGGAACAUGG
rnacentral:snoRNA from 1 species